rnacentral:rRNA from 1 species
UACGUAGGGGGCAAGCGUUGUCCGGAUUUAUUGGGCGUAAAGAGCGUGUAGGCGGCUUGGUAGGUCUUGCGUCAAAACCUGAGGCUCAACCUCAGUUCGCGUGGGAAACCAUCUAGCUAGAGUCCGGAAGAGGGGAACGGAAUUCCCAGUGUAGCGGUGAAAUGCGCAGAUAUUGGGAAGAACACCAGUGGCGAAGGCGGUUCUCUGGGACGGUACUGACGCUGAGACGCGAAAGCGUGGGGAGCGAACAGG